GUAUAAUGUGGCUCAGAGAGAAGGGACUUCAGUGUUCAUAUGAUCCUAGUGUCUGACAGAGACUGUGGUUGAAAUGAUUUGGUCUGACUGAGUGAACACUUGUACAAUGAAUCUUCAUUCAGUUAUUCUGUUCUGUGCCUCAGCAGCUGCCGUCUUUGGAAAUGUCAUCAAGCCAAAUGAAACCAAUGUUAUUUAUGAGGAGGGUUCAAAUAUUAUAUUAAUCUGUAGUCAUUACCCUGGAGCUACUGAUUAUCUCCACUGGUACCGUCAGUAUGAAAGAUCAAAACCUGAAUUUCUUGUACUCAUCUACGGUAAUGCAGAGAAAGCUGUGGUGUCUGAUGUAGAUCCAAGAUUCACUGUUAAAAUUGAAAAAAGGGAGAAAAACCAUGCAGAUCUGAAGAUCUCCUCUGCUGCUGUAUCAGACUCUGCUCUGUACUACUGUGCUCUGGCGCCCACAGUGACAGGAAACACAUCAGCUCUCUACAAAAAAGAUAGAAAUGAGGACAGUUUUUGUAUAGAGCUGAUGUGUUUCCUGUCACUGUGGGUGCCAGAGCACAGUAGUACAGAGCAGAGUCUGAUACAGCAGCAGAGGAGAUCAUCAGAUUCACAUGGUUUUGUUGCCUUUUUUCAACAUUAG